GAUGAACGCUGGCGGCGUGCCUAAUACAUGCAAGUCGAGCGAACCACUUCGGUGGUGAGCGGCGAACGGGUGAGUAACACGUAGGUGAUCUGCCCAUCAGACGGGGACAACGAUUGGAAACGAUCGCUAAUACCGGAUAGGACGAAAGUUUAAAGGUGCUUCUGGCACCGCUGAUGGAUGAGCCUGCGGCGCAUUAGCUAGUUGGUAGGGUAAAGGCCUACCAAGGCGACGAUGCGUAGCCGACCUGAGAGGGUGAACGGCCACACUGGGACUGAGACACGGCCCAGACUCCUACGGGAGGCAGCAGUAGGGAAUCUUCGGCAAUGGGCGAAAGCCUGACCGAGCAACGCCGCGUGAAUGAUGAAGG
rnacentral:rRNA from 1 species